rnacentral:rRNA from 1 species
CAAUAGCGUAUAUUAAAGUUGUUGCGGUUAAAAAGCUCGUAGUUGGAUUUCUGCUGAGAACGACCGGUCCGCCCUUUGGGUGUGUAUCUGGCUCUUUCUUGGCAUCUUCUUGGUGAACGUUGCUGCACUUGACUGUGUGGAGCGCUACCCAGGACUUUUACUUUGAGGAAAUUAGAGUGUUUCAAGCAGGCACACGCCUUGAAUACAUUAGCAUGGAAUAAUAAGAUAGGACCUCGGUUCUAUUUUGUUGGUUUCUAGAUCUGAGGUAAUGAUUAAUAGGGAUAGUUGGGGGCAUUCGUAUUUAACUGUCAGAGGUGAAAUUCUUGGAUUUGUUAAAGACGGACUACUGCGAANGNAUUUGCNAAGGAUGUUUNCAUUG